rnacentral:rRNA from 1 species
GACGAACGCUGGCGGCGUGCUUAACACAUGCAAGUCGAGCGGUAAGGCCCUUUCGGGGGUACACGAGCGGCGAACGGGUGAGUAACACGUGGGUGACCUGCCCUCAGCUCUGGGAUAAGCCUGGGAAACCGGGUCUAAUACUGGAUAUGACUCCAUGACGCAUGUUGUGGGGUGGAAAGCCUUGUGCGGCUGAGGAUGGGCCCGCGGCCUAUCAGCUUGUUGGUGGGGUGANGGCCUACCAAGGCGACGACGGGUAGCCGGCCUGAGAGGGCGACCGGCCACACUGGGACUGAGACACGGCCCAGACUCCUACGGGAGGCAGCAGUGGGGAAUCUUGCGCAAUGGGCGAAAGCCUGACGCAGCGACGCCGCGUGAGGGAUGACGGCCUCGGUUGUAACGUACUUCUACG